GGGUAUUCCCUCGCCAGCACAACUCUGUCAACACAAACAGCUGAUUUUUCGCUGUCGUGACGCAGUAAACGGGGUGUUUUUGUUUUGAAAUGUUUUGUGAAAAUUUCUGGGACUUUGGAGCACUGCAGCUGCUGAAGAAAAGUUUGAAAGUGGUGAAAGUUUAAAAAAUAGUUUCAACUUUGCAUCACAAAAAGCAUCGGUUACCGCUCAGAGUUUUCUGCAAAAGGAAACUACUUCGACCCUUGACCAGGUUCUCGGACUGGUUCCGGCUCGAUAUUUGGAUCUGGCAAAUCGAUGCGACCAGCAACUGCUACUGCGGUGGGAAAGACGAGUGCAGGUAGAAGAAAAAUCGAGGCCAGACAGCAGGCUGGACUGCCGCCGAACGGAUCAAGACGGCGCCGCCGCGAGAAUUGUCAAAACAAAGCCGCAGUCAAAAUACACCAAUCAAAACAUCAUGCGCGGAGUCAUUUUUCAAAUGUUUUUUUGGAUUAGAGGAAGUUAAAAGCCGUUUAUUCGUGCUGCUGUUGUUACUGGGUGCACUUUUGACGACCUAGGAAUCACCGUUAAGAACGUCGGGCAGGACAGUGUUCCUCCGUUUCUCAGAAAAUUCUACAAGCCGAUCAGGACGACCAAAUACAAGGAGUAGAUCUUGCGCAGCCUGCAUCACCGGAGCAAUUCUGGUGUCGGUAGCAUUACAUGACUUACGGUGGCCGCAAAUGCAACGGUGUCCAGGUACUAGGGAGAAGCAGAAGCUCGUUCCGCUGAACCCGCCGGCCUGCUUCUGCGUGAACUGUGAGCUGUCGUGUCCGUGGCCACCGCCCUUUGUAAUACACGGGUACGUCGGGUACGCCGUGGUCAUGGUUGUGAGCAGUGUGUUUGGUUCGUGAUAGGUGCGUGUUUGAGCCAGUCCGGCGGAAAUGGUGCCGGACCAACUUCAAGAUGAACAAGGGUUCCUCUUUCGCCUUGCUACAAAGCCGCAGGAUGCAACAGUUAACGGAGCGACAAAUAAGCGCCAGGUGUGUGAUCAAUAUCACACCGACUGUGGAGGAUUGCUACCAAGCUUGGUGUCCAUGGCUAGCCGAGAGACCUCUUGAGUCGCAGGGAGAACCAGUAUCACCUUUUAAUUUGUUGAUUCUUUUACUAACGGUUUUUUCAUUGCAGAUUCAAAUAACUUUCAAAAGUAAGGCUCGCGCCCUGCUCUGAUUUUAUGCUUAUUAUAUUCGCUUUCUAUACCCAAUGUGUCCUGCACUGGGGGUACCUGGGGUAACUGCGAGUUGACCUGGGCUGUCCGAGGAAUUAUGCCGUAGGUGGUUCGUGUACUGGUCCACUUACCUCUCUUCGUGGCAAGGGCUUCCUCGAUCAUGCGACAUGGGACAGCAUGAUUUUUCAGCUGAAACCGGACGGGUGUAUUAAAAAAUCACAGAAUUACUGCACUGUAAUCGGCAAAAUCAGACAAAAAGGAACUCGUGAAGGAAGUUCUGCACCGACCACCGCUUAGAGCAGGUUAAAUAGGCAAACCUAACAACUUAGCCUGACCCAUUCACCAGAUUUUCGGAGGUGCAUAUGUUAACGUGUUAAACAUGACCAAAAUCAAAAUCAAACUGCCAAUCUCCGAGACCAAGUCGCUACGGAACCGCUGACCGAUAUCGAACGCGACAAGAACCUUGAGUGGCUGAUUGUGGUCGGCGUGUGCACGUAUCUGGAUUGUCUCCGUGUUGAAGGCCUGCAACAAAUCUGGAGCAACAUUUGAAAGGGGCGGUACGACAUUGUUCUUACGGCCUUUCGUCCCAUUUAAACGCGUGUAAUGAAAGGCC